UAAAGGCUGUUAUGCUUAUUUUUG
rnacentral:miRNA from 1 species